rnacentral:lncRNA from 1 species
GGACUAUGGCUGUAUGUUUCAGUCACAGAAUAUUAAUUUGAAAUACUCUGAUUUUCUCCUUAGAUCAAUGCUACCAUAGCAUACAUAUUUUGAUCUAUAUGCAAAGUUGAUAGUAUCAUUUGAAAAGCAAUACAGGCACAACUUAUUCUUAGGGUAGAAGAGAUGGAGAUGCUCUGCAUUCACUUACUCUCCCACCCAAGGCCUUCUUCAGCUACAGAUAGAAUACCUGGCUCUGGCUCUUCAACUGAAAUUAAUAUCACUACAAUUACAGUGAAAAUGUGCAGUGUGACUUUGAAGAAGAAUAUUGGCCAGACAGUGGUGCCUUAUAUGGACCUAAACUAAUCCAGAGAAACAAUCAAACUCCAGCAACAUUCAACCGCAAAUGGUGCUGAGAACAGCUUUUCCUGCUACCAUCUCUAACCUCUUCUCUGAAGACUGACUGCGCCUCUCAAAUUCUCUGAAUAUAUCAAUUUGGGAAAUAAAGCACUCUCAAUAAAGUGUGAUUGAUUCA